AGGUCGCAGCUGCGGCGGCGUUAUACAUAAACACAACAGUCAUAAUGUCAAUUGUUGUUAAUGAAUCUUUUACAUUUUAAGUUUUAACAAAACUAAAUCAAGACUUAAAAGGAGAUGGUGGAUGAUAAAUAUGCACAGAAAUCGUAAUAGCAAAACGAUGAAAAAAUAUAUUUUCUGACCUGCUAGCUGAAUCAAGUCGACAGAUUAUUGGAUUUAUUCGAAUGUCAGCGACUGAUUUACAACAGCGAAACAUGAAACUCGGUUUCGAGAAACUAUUCCAGCAAAAGUACGCUUAGCAGUCACAUUUAGAUAUUUAGCUUCUGGUAAUAGUUUCAGAAAUUACAUUACUUGUUUAAAAUGUCUCAUAAGGUUAUUUCGAAGAUUGUCAGAGAAUGUUGUGCUGCUCUUAUAACUGCCAUGAAAGACUUAAGUAAUAUAGCUCGAGUCAAAACGAGUGGCUACAGAAGAAGGCCGAUUUUAGUGACGGAUUUCCACAUUGCAUAGGGGCUCUUGAUGGCAACCAUACAGUGGUGACAAUGGUUCUGAAUAUUUUAAUUACAAACAUUCCUUUAGUAUUGUGAUGAUGGCAUUGGUGGAUAGUAAUUUUUGUUUUAUGUACUGUGGUGUUGGAUGUAAGGGAAGAAUUAGUGAUGGUGGUGUAUUUAGAGACAGUGUUUUAUAUGAAAGACUACAUACUAAAACACUAAAGUUGCCACAACCUACAACCAAACUUACCAGGAGGUGAACAUCCAGAAGAAAGUAUGCAAUGAAGAUAUAAUCAAAAAUUAUUGUCUGUUCAUAUUGUUGUUGAAAAUGCAUUUGGCAUAAUGUCAGCUUGAUUUUGGGGUACUUAGGGCACCUAUAGCUCUUCAACCACAUGAAGCUUUAAAAGUAUGGCUUGUGCCCUGUUGCUAACUUAUUAAAGAAAAGUUCCAACUCAAGAUCUUCUUACACUUCACCAGGCUAUGCUGACUAGAUAUUGCAUGGAGAAUUAAUAAGAUCAGGUAAUUAGAGAGAAGAUAUUGUAAAUGGCAGUGGUGCUUUAAGGAGAAUAGGAUAGUGAUUUAAGAAAAUAAAAAAUAUAAAGAAAUAA